rnacentral:rRNA from 1 species
CAGCCGCCGCGGUAAUACGUAGGGUGCAAGCGUUGUCCGGAAUUAUUGGGCGUAAAGAGCUCGUAGGCGGUUUGUCGCGUCUGCUGUGAAAACUCGGGGCUUAACUCCGGGCCUGCAGUGGGUACGGGCAGACUAGAGUGCGGUAGGGGAGACUGGAAUUCCUGGUGUAGCGGUGAAAUGCGCAGAUAUCAGGAGGAACACCGGUGGCGAAGGCGGGUCUCUGGGCCGUAACUGACGCUGAGGAGCGAAAGCGUGGGGAGCGAACAGGAUUAGAUACCCUGGUAGUCCACGCCGUAAACGUUGGGCGCUAGGUGUGGGGCUCUUUCCACGAGUUCCGUGCCGCAGCAAACGCAUUAAGCGCCCCGCCUGGGGAGUACGGCCGCAAGGCUAAAACUCAAAGGAAUUGACGGGGGCCCGCACAAGCGGCGGAGCAUGCGGAUUAAUUCGAUGCAACGCGAAGAACCUUACCAAGGCUUGACAUACGCAGAAAACCGGCAGAGAUGUCGGGUCCGUAAGGGCUGUGUACAGGAGGUGCAUGGCC